rnacentral:rRNA from 1 species
AUACGUAGGGGGCGAGCGUUGUCCGGAAUGAUUGGGCGUAAAGGGCGCGUAGGCGGCCCGGUAAGUCUGGAGUGAAAGUCCUGUUUUUAAGAUGGGAAUUGCCUUGGAUACUGUCGGGCUUGAGUGCAGGAGAGGUAGGUGGAAUUCCCAGUGUAGCGGUGAAAUGCGUAGAGAUUGGGAGGAACACCAGUGGCGAAGGCGACUUACUGGACUGUAACUGACGCUGAGGCGCGAAAGUGUGGGGAGCAAACAGGAUUAGAUACCCUGGUAGUCCACACUGUAAACGAUGAAUGCUAGGUGUAGGGGGGUAUCGACCCCUUCUGUGCCGCAGUCAACACAAUAAGCAUUCCGCCUGGGGAGUACGGCCGCAAGGUUGAAACUCAAAUGAAUUGACGGGG